UUUCCCUACCAUCUCUCUCUCCUCCCCCCCACCCCCCCCUCUCUCUCUCUCUCUCUCUCUCUCUCUGAGAAGAAGAAGAAGAAAUCGAUCACUUUUCCCCCCAAUACCUUCUCGUACGCCGGCACCGAUCCCCGUGCGAUCGUCGGAAUCGAUCCAGGGAGCUGUACAGAACCUAAUACUCGUUUCCAGGAUAUUUUAGCGCUCUAACAAUCUGUUUUUUCAUUCUUUGAGUUGGCGUUGCUGGCUUCUUCUGUAACGGACUUAGCUGACCUGUAGUAGAUGUAUGGAAUCUGGAUUAGUUGAUGUGUUGUAGGAGGAUAAGGUAGUUGGUGGUGUGACAUAUGAUUCAAGGAGCCCAACAUUUUUAGUUGAUAAGAUUCCUUGUACGUUCAAUUUCUGGGAAUGAGUCUGGAGAAUGAAGACCGGUUAUUGCUUGAAAGAAAAACUGGAUCUCAAAAGAAGUCUAAGAUAUUAUAUGCAAGAGACGAACUUUUGUCUUUUAGCAACUUGGAUAUUUGCAAAAAAUUGCCCAGAGGAAUCGAUGCUUCGAUUUUGAGUGAAUUGGAUGAAGCAUCGGUCAUUGAGAGGCAAAGAAGUUUUGGAGGCUUAACUUUCCAGAGCACAAAGCGGAGUGAUUAUGGAUCAUCACCGCCGAAUAGGUUAGAAGGUGCAAGUAGUUAUUUUCGAGGAAGCUCUGGAAGGUGGGAUGCACGGUCUUCUGGAUCGGACACUAGAGAUGGAGACCUCCCAUCUAAUCGUGAAGCAUCCAUGCAAGAUUCUGGUAGGCGUUACGGACAGCAACAGCAAUCUCGACAUUUAUCUCAAAAUCUUGAGCAUGAUGGACUUCUGGGAAGUGGUGCAUUUCCAAGACCUUCAGGUUAUGCUGGAUCCUCGGGACAAAAAGCUAGGGCAACCAGCCAGUUUCAGCUUAAUAGGACUUCUGAACCUUAUCAGCCCCCACGACCUUAUAAGGCUUUACCUUUUCAACGGAAGGAUGAUAAAGAUUCAUGUAAUGAUGAAACAUUUGGUUCGACUAAUUAUUCAAGCGAGGACAGAGCGGAAGAAGAACGGAGAAGAAGAGCAUCCUUCGAGUUGAUGAGAAAGGAACAACAGAAAGCACUGCAAGAGAAGCCAAAACAGAUUCCUGAUAAUCACAAAGAAAAUCUUGAUGCUGAUAUUAUUGCAUUACUUCAGAACUCGGUUGAUAGGAACAGUAAAAUGAGUAAAACUGACAUGCCGGAUGAUUCUUCACUGCCACAAAACGAUUCUUCCAGGGUUUCUUCUACUAUGAAUGCUCCCCUACCUCGGCCACUUGUACCACCUGGUUUUUCCAGCACAGCAUUAGACAAAAACCUUCCUGUUCAGUCUUCAAGCACUCAGUUUGCGUCAGAGGGUAGCUUUUCUGGUAGUCUGGAUGACCUUCCUCCAGAUGGCACCGAUAAUGAUCCCGAGAAAAGGCACCAAUCAGCUGUAUGCCUGGACAACAACAUGCUAAAAACUGGCUCCAUGUCUGAUCUUGUUGUGAAUGUCGAUGAAAAGCUUGCAAUUCCAUCAUCGGCUCUCAAAGUUAAGCUCCCAAUGGAUGCUGAAAACAUAUCCUGUUCAACCUCCGGUUCUCCAAAAGUGAAUAAGAUUUGGGAAGAAGUCAUAGAGAAUGAUGUUUCCAACACUAAAGAAGAGAAGUUUGAGGUUACAAACCCACUUAUGCAGGAUAGUUCAGUGUCAAUUCUGGAAAAGUUGCUUGGUGGUUCUGUGAUAAAAACUUCUGGUGGUUCACCAACUUCCUCUGCGAAUCAGGGUUUUAAAACGGAUGAAGAACCAUGGGUUCCUGCAAUUUCCGAAUCUUCCAAAUUUGCUAGUUGGUUUCUUGAAGAAGAAAACAAGCAUGUAGAAGACUUUUCAUCAAAGGACUUGCUCUCUUUAAUUGUGAACAACGAGAAAGUUAACUCAUCAUCUUCCAUAAUUUCUUGUGACAAGGCAAUUGAGCAUAUGGCACCAAGCUUACCUAUAAAAAUUAGUGAUACCACAGAGAAACUUGAUGCAUCCUCCGCAACUUCUUUGAUGGUUGGGAUCCCUGAGCAGUAUCAUCAAGGUGUUAAGCCAGAUUUAAGUCCUGCUGUGCUGACAUGUGAGGACCUUGAGCAGUCCUUCAUGGCCAACAUUACAGGUCGUUCAAGUCCACAGCAUGCUGUUCAAGGACCUCGGAAGACUACAGAUGGAAAAAUGGAACAGAAACUGGAUAUUGAUGAUCAUGCAUCACAACAUCUUCUUUCUCUAUUACAGAAGGGGACAAAGAAAGAGAAGGCAGCAUCAGUAACACCUGAUGGUCUAGAUGCUGAAUUCUUUGACAAAUUUUCCAUAACUGAUGCUAAUUCUGGUUUCAAACUUCGGAUUGCUGAGAAGGCUACUUCUUGCAACUCUGAACCAGCACCCAGCUCAGAGAAGACCCUGACACUCGAAACAUUAUUUGGGGCAGCAUUUAUGAAUGAGCUCCAAUCGGCUCAAGCUCCUGUCUCUGUGCAGAGAGUUACAGAUGGUGGGAUUAACACUACAGAAGUUCCAACAUCACUUAGAUUGCCAUUUCAAAAUUCUGAUGCUGGUUUCUUUCCUUCUAGUUCUGGUGACUAUAAACAGAACAAACCUGCUCAUGAGAUGGACAUGGUAUCUACAAACCAAAUUCAAGAUGCAAAUGUUCAUCACACUAUGGGUCCUUCCAAAGAGCAUGAAAACUCUCUUAUUGAGGACUCAAAACAUGUUGCUUCUGGUUUUGAAGAAAGAGCUUUGCAAAUUCACUUGCCUGAUGAGGAUAAUCUGAUUACUACUAGUGAUUCUUUGGACUCUGUAGCUUCUGGCCCUUCACCCUUUCCAAAUGCUACUAGAAGUGAGGAGCUAUUAUCUGAAAACAGUGUGGAACAUCUCAAUUACAAAUUGCUUAAUGCUAUUACAAGAGAUGCAGAACGAAUUCCAUCGUCUAGUCUGGAUGGCUUACCUCCUUUUCGCACCCCACAUGACCUGGUUGGUUCUGAUAGUUUUUAUCAUCAUUUACAGGGAAGAACAUCUCCUCAGUUACCUCAUAUCAUCAAUCAUGCUAGGCCUCUGCACCCGGGGCUGGAUCAUCUCACAAAUAGGAAUCAGCAGAUGAAGUUUAUUGGUCCUGAAGGCAUCCAUCAUGAUCCUCGUCGAAAUUUACUUGAAAACGUUGUUCCACUUAAUACUUCCAAUUAUGCUAGUGGCCCACACGUUGAACCUCCUGACUAUCAUUUGAUGUUACAGCAAAUGCCAAUUCCAGGAAGCUACCCACAACAGUUACCUCUUCCAGGUUUUCCAAGAGGUGUACCAUUACCUCAUCACCUAAAUCACAUGCAAGGGUACAUACCUGAGAUGAACAAUGUACACAAUAUUUCGUUACAUCAGCAGCACCCAACUUAUGGCAGCCUUGGAAUGGGAAUGCCAGGAUCUCUCAUUGGAGGUGGUGGAGGCAAUCAUCCGGAAGCAUUACAAAGGCUGAUUGAUAUGGAGCUGAGAGCUAAUGCAAAGCAGGUGCACCCUGCAUCAGCUGGUCACAUUCCUGGUAUAUAUGGUCCAGAAUUCGACAGGAGCUUCCGGUACAGAUGACUCUAAAAGACCUCUGAUUUCAUCUGAUCAGAAGGUUGUGGAAUACCUGACCUUUUAUAGUUUGGAGAAGGAAGAAAAAGAAAAAGAAGACGGAAACGGUCCCAAGGGAAUGAUAGAAGAUUGAUGGUGAUCCAAAUGAGAGGGACUCGCACGUGUAUAGACAAGCCUGAGUUCUUUUCUGUUGUCAAUAUUCCCAUCCAAAUGGAACAAACAUUAAGCUUCUUCUCUUAGCACUUGUCUAAUUAUGUCAUUUGGAGAAAGUUAUGGAAACACCUCAGUACAAGAACAUGGUAGGGUUUGCAUGAUAUGAUGCUGCUGUCCUAAACCUCUUCUGGAGAUAUUACUUGCUGAUCUCUAUGUAUUCUACGCGUACCUGUUUUAUCUUACUAUAUUUCGUUGUCUGUAUCAUGCUUGGACGCCUUCUCUCUACAUCCUGGUAUCUGGCUUGGAAUGCUGAUAGUAAUUCCCAACAGUUUGAUGGGUAAUAUGUUUAAGCUGAUAGUACUUGUCAUUUUCA